rnacentral:tRNA from 1 species
GGGCUCAUAGCUCAAUGGAUAGAGCAAUGGCCUUCUAAGCCGGAGGUUGAGGGUUCGAGUCCCUCUGGGCCCG